CACUGGCGGCGGCCUACACAUGCAGUCGAACGGAUCCUUCGGGAUUAGUGGCAGACGGGUGAGUAACGCGUGGGAAGCUACCUUGUGGUAGGGAACAACAGUUGGAAACGACUGCUAAUACCCUAUGAGCCCUAUGGGGGAAAGAUUUAUCGCCAUGAGAUGUGCCCGCGUUAGAUUAGCUAGUUGGUAAGGUAAUGGCUUACCAAGGCGACGAUCUAUAGCUGGUCUGAGAGGAUGAUCAGCCACACUGGGACUGAGACACGGCCCAGACUCCUACGGGAGGCAGCAGUGGGGAAUAUUGGACAAUGGGGGCAACCCUGAUCCAGCCAUGCCGCGUGAGUGAUGACGGCCUUAGGGUUGUAAAGCUCUUUCAGCAGUGAAGAUAAUGACAUUAACUGCAGAAGAAGCCCCGGCUAANUUCGUGCCAGCAGCCGCGGUAAUACGAAGGGGGCUAGCGUUGUUCGGAAUCACUGGGCGUAAAGCGUACGUAGGCGGACUGAUCAGUCANGGGUGAAAUCCCGGGGGCUCAACCCCGGAACUGCCUUUGAUACUGUCAGUCUUGAUAUC
rnacentral:rRNA from 1 species